UACCGUCCCGGGCCUUGUACACACCGCCCGUCAAGCCAUGGAAGACUCGGUAAGUCGACCUGAACGUGACGUAACCGCAAGGAGCGUCCUAGGGUAAAGUCGGUAACGUGGGCU
rnacentral:rRNA from 1 species